rnacentral:rRNA from 1 species
GACGAACGCUGGCGGCGUGCUUAACACAUGCAAGUCGAGCGGUAAGGCCCUUUCGGGGGUACACGAGCGGCGAACGGGUGAGUAACACGUGGGUGACCUGCCUCUAGCUCUGGGAUAAGCCUGGGAAGCUGGGUCUAAUACCGGAUAUGACCUCGCGGUGCAUGUUGCGGGGUGGAAAGCCUUGUGCGGCUAGGGAUGGGCCCGCGGCCUAUCAGCUUGUUGGUGGGGUGAUGGCCUACCAAGGCGACGACGGGUAGCCGGCCUGAGAGGGCGACCGGCCACACUGGGACUGAGACACGGCCCAGACUCCUACGGGAGGCAGCAGUGGGGAAUCUUGCGCAAUGGGCGAAAGCCUGACGCAGCGACGCCGCGUGAGGGAUGACGGCCUCGGUGUAAC